rnacentral:lncRNA from 1 species
AUGGGGCCAGGCGGGCACGGCCCCAGGGGGACCGUCUCUACCUUUCCCCGGACACGUCUCGGGGUCGACAGAGUGAUCUGGCCGGAAGCGAGCGUGGCCCUUGGAGGGCAUCGUCCCAGCAGCGCCCGCAGCCGAGGGCCUUGUCCGGUCGGCCCCCUCCCUGGGAACGAGACAGAGCGGGGAGGUGAAGACGUGGAGGCGGGACCUGCCCCCCCAGUCUGGGGGCCCCGAGAGGGCGGGGGAGGGGGGGGCUCCCCUAAGGGUGUCAGUCUGGAGCCCUCGCUGCAGCGGACCGACGCCAGGCAAAUCAUUCCCCCGCUGAGCCUUGGUUUUCCUGUCUAUAAAAUGGGGGAAACGUACAGACGGACCUUCUCCUCGGCGCUGGGGGGAGACGAGACGCCUCCCGGCUCCCCCGGGCGGAGGCUAAGGACGGUGAUUGAGGCUGGGGGCCCUCCUCCCCCUCCCCCGGGCCCUGGCCGUACCUGGUGGUGGGCAGCUUCAGCAGGGCCCUCCGCUCCCUCCUGGUGCCAGCCGCCUCCUGGGCCCCGCCGGACUGCGGCCGGGCCCAGGGAAGCCCUAAAAAACCCGACCCGACCGGUCUGCCCGCCUCCACCUCCGCCUCCCGACCGGGAUGUUUCCUUCCCGCCCCUGCCCCGAGCCAGGCCGUCCUGGGCACGCCCACCUCUCCUUGGGGAGCACCAAGCCGGCCGGGGCGCCCCAGAGCGGGAGACGGAGGCUGGGCUGCCCCCUUGGGCCGCGGGGCAGCCUCUGUGUGGCACCUCUUCUGCGAGGAGGCCGCCGGGAAGGGUCGGGCCGCCCUGGGACCCUCCGGCCCCUUCGGAGCCCCUCCAGGGCCGCUUUCGGCCUUUCUUUUGCGGCUCCGAGUGGCCUCGCUCGGGGAGAGGGAAGGAGCCGCGGAGGGCCCGGGAGAGCCGAGGCCGGCAGGGAUUCGCUCUGCCUUCCCAGGGGAGGACGGUGGGUGAAGGGGACGGGAAAGAAGCCGCUCUUUGGCCCGGGGCCCCGAGGCUGGCGAGGGCACCCCGAGGUCCUGCCCGUGGCUCGGCACGCGGUCAGGACUGCACGAAGCCUCCUUCGUCCCUCCGCGGCUGGGCAGGACGAAAGCCCGACCCUUCUCGGGGGCCGGAUCCCCCACGGCCGGGCUCCGUUCCUCUCCGAUGCCCCCUCGGUCAGCCUUGGGACAGCCAGUCAGGCUGA